CGCAUCGAUGUCUGGCUUGUUGAAAUAGGUGACCCAGCGUGCAUCAAACUCCUCAUCUGUCUCCUGUGUCCCGUGGGAAUAGCACCUUGAGGCCAAGACACCUGCCAGGGGUCAAUGAUACAGAAUCUCUAUUUAAUGCACUAAGAGUUCUUCAGAAGUCCAUCCUCCGAUUUCUGCCAAUUCAGCAUCCCUUUGUUCUGAGAUGACCGUGAAGGAGAAGUAAAAAGGACAUUUCUUCUUCGAAUCCCUCCGACGUGAAGAAAAAGAGGCUCUUGCUCGAUUCAGCACCGAGGACAGCUGAUGCCCACAAACACACAUGAGGCUCCGACCGUUGAGUGGCACAAAGAGCUCUUAAAGGCACAUGCAACAUUUUGCCUCAUUGAAUUCAGUCAUUUAUGUCAUUUAUUGAGUUGACCAGCAACUUUUGUGAGAGCCUCAAGCAUCAAUGUGGUUGCUUUAAUUUAGCAGUGAAAUACACAUAAUUUAUUGAGAUGUGCUGACGCACUCAAAUUGUUUGAACUCAAAUGAUUAUUUUGUUUCCUAACAUUUAAAUCUUCUACAUUUCUUGAAUUAGUGUGGGUUUUAUCUUUAAUGGCUUUUCGUGUCAUUUAAUCUAUUGGCACCAUAUGGUAUUAAAAAAAAAAAAAGUCUUCCUUUGGGCUACCAGGGAUAUUUUGUCUUCCUUUUAGUCUGUCAAGUCACCCGCUGGGCUGACCCAGAAAACGGCAGACCUCUUGUAAAUCAAUAAGAACAUUUAAACCUCGGAGCAGCUACCAUUUUGUGGAGGUGUGUAAAAGCAACAAAAACAGGUUUGUCCUCAGGUGCCAACAAUGCUGGCGAGGGUACAUUGGGGAGGCAGCUGUGGGGCUCAUAUGGAAGCACAAUAGUGUUAUAAUUUUGCCUUUCUGCCUCACGGGAUGGAGCGCCUCUCCUGUUAUUUGCUGAUAUGAACAAUGAGCACAGGCUUUAUGAUUUCCUUUGUGUCUUUUGGGCCAAUAAAAGCAUCUUGAAUAUUG